AACUGGUUUGGUAAAGAUAGUGGACUAAUGACACUAACUAAUAUUAGUAUGUUCACUAGCUUUGACUCCUAAAAGACGUUAAACUCUUUAUAAUAAGAAAAGUAACGAAAAUUCUUAAACAAGGGGUUUAUUAAUCGUUUACUUCGAAUUAUUAAACCGUAUAGUCUUAGUUACGUAGUAGUUGUUAAUAUUACCAACGACGUAGCACUAAAGCUUUUAUUUAACGGUUUAGGUCCCAAUUUCAUAAGCGGAACGUUCGAUUAAGACAGCGAAAAUUCUCCGUUACAAGGUCCCAAUUUCAUAAGCGGAACGUUCGAUUAAGACAGCGAAAAUUCUCCGUUACAAGACUAGGUGUGCUGGUGCUGCUGCAUAAUCUCGAGCAUACGGGGACUAGGCUUGGGUAUUUACACUUAAAGCAUUUUGAAAUAAGUAUUAUUGGUUUUUCCAAGACUUAUAUAUUUUGUGGUUUGAAUGAAAGGGGUCAUUGAUGAUUCCCGAGUUGUAUUUAUAUUUUAAUUCCGCUGCAUUUUAGUUUUCAAGUUAAUGUUUUAAGUUAUCGUUAACCGUUAUUAUGCCUUGCGUUCCAUCGCGGCGGUAACGCCCCCGAGGUCGACGCGACGCAGCAGUGGUAGGCGCGCGUGGAUUUUGGGGGUGUUACAGU